AACGAACGCUGGCGGCAGGCUUAACACAUGCAAGUCGAGCGCCCCGCAAGGGGAGCGGCAGACGGGUGAGUAACGCGUGGGAACGUACCUUUUGGUUCGGAACAACUCCGGGAAACUGGAGCUAAUACCGGAUAAGCCCUAACGGGGAAAGAUUUAUCGCCGAAAGAUCGGCCCGCGUCUGAUUAGCUAGUUGGUGAGGUAACGGCUCACCAAGGCGACGAUCAGUAGCUGGUCUGAGAGGAUGAUCAGCCACACUGGGACUGAGACACGGCCCAGACUCCUACGGGAGGCAGCAGUGGGGAAUAUUGGACAAUGGGCGCAAGCCUGAUCCAGCCAUGCCGCGUGAGUGAUGAAGCCUUAGGGUUGUAAAGCUCUUUUGUCCGGGAAGAUAAUGACUGUACCGGAAGAAUAAGCCCCGGCUAACUUCGUG
rnacentral:rRNA from 1 species